GUGCCAUGUGUGGAUAUAUAUGUCUAGCCUCUGUGGUUCAGUUGAGUUACCAUGAUUUACAUACUCCCAGAUGCUUUGUCGGGCCAGGGUAUGGGGGGCUCUUGGGGUUGGGGAUUCAAUCUUUUG